GACGAACGCUGGCGGCGUGCCUAAUACAUGCAAGUAGAACGCACAGUUUAUACCGUAGCUUGCUACACCAUAGACUGUGAGUUGCGAACGGGUGAGUAACGCGUAGGUAACCUGCCUGGUAGCGGGGGAUAACUAUUGGAAACGAUAGCUAAUACCGCAUAAUAUUAAUUAUUGCAUGAUAAUUGAUUGAAAGGUGCAAAUGCAUCACUACCAGAUGGACCUGCGUUGUAUUAGCUAGUAGGUGAGGUAACGGCUCACCUAGGCGACGAUACAUAGCCGACCUGAGAGGGUGAUCGGCCACACUGGGACUGAGACACGGCCCAGACUCCUACGGGAGGCAGCAGUAGGGAAUCUUCGGCAAUGGACGAAAGUCUGACCGAGCAACGCCGCGUGAGUGAAGAAGGUUUUCGGAUCGUAACUCUCUGUUGGAAGAGA
rnacentral:rRNA from 1 species